CACUCCUACGGGAGGCAGCAGUGGGGAAUAUUGCACAAUGGGCGCAAGCCUGAUGCAGCCAUGCCGCGUGUAUGAAGAAGGCCUUCGGGUUGUAAAGUACUUUCAGCGGGGAGGAAGGCAAUACGGUUAAUAACCGUGUUGAUUGACGUUACCCGCAGAAGAAGCACCGGCUAACUCCGUGCCAGCAGCCGCGGUAAUACGGAGGGUGCAAGCGUUAAUCGGAAUUACUGGGCGUAAAGCGCACGCAGGCGGUCUGUCAAGUCGGAUGUGAAAUCCCCGGGCUCAACCUGGGAACUGCAUUCGAAACUGGCAGGCUUGAGUCUUGUAGAGGGGGGUAGAAUUCCAGGUGUAGCGGUGAAAUGCGUAGAGAUCUGGAGGAAUACCGGUGGCGAAGGCGGCCCCCUGGACAAAGACUGACGCUCAGGUGCGAAAGCGUGGGGAGCAAACAGGAUUAGAUACCCGGGUAGUCCCAUGA
rnacentral:rRNA from 1 species